UACGUAGGGUGCGAGCGUUGUCCGGAUUUACUGGGCGUAAAGAGCGCGCAGGCGGUCGGAUAAGUCGAAUGUGAAAGCCCCCGGCUUAACUGGGGAGGGUCAUUCGAUACUGUUCGACUGGAAGGCAGGAGAGGGAAGCGGAAUUCCCGGUGUAGUGGUGAAAUGCGUAGAUAUCGGGAGGAACACCAGUGGCGAAGGCGGCUUCCUGGCCUGUUCUUGACGCUGAGGCGCGAAAGCUAGGGGAGCAAACGGG
rnacentral:rRNA from 1 species